GUGCACCUCCUCAUGAACAGGUGACAUUCAUCAGACUGAAACGAGCAAGUUCAGGAAGUUAAAAGAGGUUGUUGAAUCUGACUUGGAACACCUCACAGAAAAAGAAGAUUGACAGUUUUUUGAGGAAUGAAACCACCAGGACCAGCAGCUCCUCGUCAUCCCGUUCAAGAACUUUGACCAGCAGACCAACAAUGUUUUUAUUCCUCAUCUUCAGCUCCGUCCUCGUGUCCUCAGCAAGGUUCAACAAGAGGUAGUAGAGGAGCUGCUCCACCUGGGGCAAACGGGAAGGAGGGAUGAGUUUACACUCCUCCACCACUUUCUUGGCCAAAGCUCCCAC